UACGAGGGGGCGAGCGUUGUUCGGAAUUAUUGGGCGUAAAGGGUGCGUAGGCGGUUCCGCAAGUCCUGUGUGAAAUCUUCGGGCUCAACUCGAAGUCUGCACGGGAAACUGCGGGGCUUGAGUGUGGGAGAGGAGAGUGGAAUUCCCAGUGUAGAGGUGAAAUUCGUAGAUAUUGGGAAGAACACCGGUGGCGAAGGCGGCUCUCUGGACCGACACUGACGCUGAGGCGCGAAAGCGUGGGUAGCGAACAGG
rnacentral:rRNA from 1 species